ACAUCAGUGCUGUAGUGAUUUGACCGUUAGACUCAGACUCUGGAGUCCAGGGUUCGAAUCCCUGCUCGGUUG